rnacentral:rRNA from 1 species
AUUGAACGCUGGCGGCAGGCCUAACACAUGCAAGUCGAGCGGCAGCGGGAAAGUAGCUUGCUACUUUUGCCGGCGAGCGGCGGACGGGUGAGUAAUGCCUGGGGAUCUGCCCAGUCGAGGGGGAUAACUACUGGAAACGGUAGCUAAUACCGCAUACGCCCUACGGGGGAAAGCAGGGGACCUUCGGGCCUUGCGCGAUUGGAUGAACCCAGGUGGGAUUAGCUAGUUGGUGAGGUAAUGGCUCACCAAGGCGACGAUUCCUAGCUGGUCUGGGAGGAGGAGCAGCCACACUGGAACGGGGACACGGUGCAGACUCCUACGGGAGGCAGCAGUGGGGAAUAUUGCACAAUGGGGGAAACCCGGAUGCAGCCAUGCCGCGUGUGUGAAGAAGGCCUUCGGGUUGUAAAGCACUUUCAGCGAGGAGGAAAGGUUGGUAGCUAAUAACUGCCAGCUGUGACGUUACUCGCAGAAGAAGCACCGGCUAACUCCGUGCCAGCCGCCGCCGUAAAAC